GACGAACGCUGGCGGCGUGCUUAACACAUGCAAGUCGAACGGAAAGGCCCUGCUUUUGUGGGGUGCUCGAGUGGCGAACGGGUGAGUAACACGUGAGUAACCUGCCCUUGACUUUGGGAUAACUUCAGGAAACUGGGGCUAAUACCGGAUAGGAGCUCCUGCUGCAGGGUGGGGGUUGGAAAGUUUCGGCGGAUGGGGAUGGACGCGCGGCUUAUCAGCUUGUUGGUGGGGUAGUGGCUUACCAAGGCUUUGACGGGUAGCCGGCCUGAGAGGGUGACCGGCCACCUUGGGACUGCGGUACGGCCCAGACUCCUACGGGAGGCAGCAGUGGGGAAUAUUGCACAAUGGGCGGAAGCCUGAUGCAGCAACGCCGCGUGCGUGAUGACGGCCUUCGGGUUGUAAACCGCUUUCGCCUGUGACGAAGCGUGAGUGACGGUAAUGGGUAAAGAAGCACCGGCUAACUACGUG
rnacentral:rRNA from 1 species